ACAGCCUGAGGACCGGAAAACCUGCCGCCGGCCCGCCUUGACAUAUUUUUUUAUCAAGGAAACAAGGUGGAUGUGGGGAACGCAGUCCCACCAGGCUGU
rnacentral:ncRNA from 1 species